AGUGAACGCUGGCGGUAGGCCUAACACAUGCAAGUCGAACGGCAGCACAGUAAGAGCUUGCUCUUACGGGUGGCGAGUGGCGGACGGGUGAGGAAUACAUCGGAAUCUACUUUUUCGUGGGGGAUAACGUAGGGAAACUUACGCUAAUACCGCAUACGACCUACGGGUGAAAGCAGGGGAUCUUCGGACCUUGCGCGAUUGAAUGAGCCGAUGUCGGAUUAGCUAGUUGGCGGGGUAAAGGCCCACCAAGGCGACGAUCCGUAGAUGGUCUGAGAGGAUGAUCAGCCACACUGGAACUGAGACACGGUCCAGACUCCUACGGGAGGCAGCAGUGGGGAAUAUUGGACAAUGGGCGCAAGCCUGAUCCAACCAUACCGCGUGGGUGAAAAAGGCCUUCGGGUUGUAAAGCCCUUUUGUUGGGAAAGAAAAGCAGCAGGUUAAUACCCCGCUGUUCUGACGGUACCCAAAGAAUAAGCACCGGCUAACUUCGUG
rnacentral:rRNA from 1 species